rnacentral:misc_RNA from 1 species
UGUGUAGCAUAAUUACAGCAAUUAUUAUUCUUGUCUAGCUCAUAGAUGUAAUAUCUUUGUAACUCAGACAUUGACAAAUAUACAGACAAAUACACAAUCCUUUCCUUCAUUACUUGUAUUCUUUCUAACAUGCUAUUAGAGCCGUAAAGUAUUUCUAGUUUCUAAAGUCUCUCUUCUCUCUCUACAAAUAACAGGUUCAUUCAUUCCUGUUAUUAUACCAUUU